rnacentral:rRNA from 1 species
GAUGAACGCUGGCGGCGUGCCUAAUACAUGCAAGUCGAGCGAACAGACGAGGAGCUUGCUCCUCUGACGUUAGCGGCGGACGGGUGAGUAACACGUGGAGAACCUACCUAUAAGACUGGGAUAACUUCGGGAAACCGGAGCUAAUACCGGAUAAUAUAUUGAACCGCAUGGUUCAAUAGUGAAAGACGGUUUUGCUGUCACUUAUAGAUGGAUCCGCGCCGCAUUAGCUAGUUGGUAAGGUAACGGCUUACCAAGGCAACGAUGCGUAGCCGACCUGAGAGGGUGAUCAGCCACACUGGAACUGAGACACGGUCCAGACUCCUACGGGAGGCAGCAGUAGGGAAUCUUCCGCAAUGGGCGAAAGCCUGACGGAGCAACGCCGCGUGAGUGAUGAAGGUCUUCGGAUCGUAAAACUCUGUUAUUAGGGAAGAACAAAUGUGUAAGUAACUAUGCACGUCUUGACGGUACCUAAUCAGAAAGCCACGGCUAACUACGUG